GACGAACGCUGGCGGCGUGCUUAACACAUGCAAGUCGAACGAUGAACCCGGAGCUUGCUCCGGUGGAUUAGUGGCGAACGGGUGAGUAACACGUGAGUAACCUGCCCUUGACUCUGGGAUAACUGCGGGCAACUGUAGCUAAUACCGGAUACGACCCUCGGCGGCAUCGCCAGGGGGUGGAAAGAAUUUCGGUCAAGGAUUGACCCGCGGCCUAUCAGCUAGUUGGUGAGGUAACGGCUCACCAAGGCGACGAAGUGUAGCCGGCCUGAGAGGGUGACCGGCCACACUGGGAGUGAGCCACAGCCCAGACUCCGUCGGGAGGCAGCAGUGGGGAAUAUUGCACAAUGGGCGCAAGCCUGAUGCAGCAGCGCCGCGUGAGGGAUGACGGCCUUCGGGUUGUAAACCUCUUUUAGUAGGGAAGAAGCGAAAGUGACGGUACCUGCAGAAAAAGCACCGGCUAACUACGUGCCAGCAGCCGCAGUAA
rnacentral:rRNA from 1 species